rnacentral:lncRNA from 1 species
CAAUCUGACAGGUCGCCUAAAAGUUGAGGAUUCCUAUCCAACCUCAGGUCUGCUAUGGGAACAUCGUUGUGUGCAGGCACAUUACUGACAGAAUGGAGCAUGACUGGACAAACGUCCUGUUGGGUUUGCUUCUCUCGGGACCCCUCACUGGAUCUAAAAAACUCCACUCAGCACUGGAAAACUGAUGGUCGGUACAGGAGGAACCGGAAACGGGGCGGGGGGUGGGAAGUGACAGACAGACCUAGGGUUACAGGAGGAUUUAAUGGGGACUUGUGGACAGAGCAUGCCCUGAGUGGCCAUACCUCAACGCAGUAAGAGGAAGUCUCGGUGCU